AUGCCUAGGGUUUUGACGCAAGUUUUUGACUUUUUUUGUUGAUCUACCUUUGAUCGGUGGUAACUGGAUUGUUUAGCGUCGAUUUGGUUAUCAACAUCUCAGAUCUACAGUCUCUUGACGGCGUGUACGGUAUGGAAGGUAUAACUUCGUCACGUCUGUUUCAAAUUUAGUGUUUUGAGACAAUUUUUUUUUUUUUGGAAAAGGCUUUAUAUUGAGGGUUUUGUCAAGUUUAAUGAACACCUUCAGUGUUUGUGAAUUUUAUCCGACGUCUUCGAUUCUUUGAUUUCGAUAUUCACAGGUAUGGUUUAUUUCUGCGUUAAUUGGAAUUUGGAUUUGGUAGUUCUGGAUUUUAAAACAGGUGUUUGUUUGUUAAUUGUUUGUGAUAGUUGUUGUUUUAGUUCGAACAAUAAUCUUCGAAGAUGACUUGGUUAUUGCUAUCUAACUCAAAUUCUUAUUAUGAGAGGGAUGGGUUGCAACGACACUAAGGUUGAUUACCUAAAUUCCAUAUAUGAUAUACAUGUUUUCUAGAAUCCAUUAGUGUAAUUUGCGUAUUUUUAGAUUUAUAACUAUCCGUGGGAUAGGCAUAUGGUAAAACGAGGAACUGCAAUAGUAAAGUGCAAACCAAACUUAGCAAAAAGCUAAGAAGUUUGCAAAACAACAAGAAUACGAGUAAAUUGUUGUUUUAAUAGUUUAUUGGUUUGAUUUCUUUUGUUGUCACCUAUUCUAUUGUUGAAAGAACAAUAAAGACGCCGCUAAUCGUCGAUCGUGGGUGAAAUUCUGUCUCCGUUCAAUUUUGAUGCAUUUGAACACCCUAAAUCCAAUCCAAAACUGAAGACGCCCAAUAAAGUCAGAUAAAUUAGUGCUUUGAUUUCCAAUUGUUUACAAACAUAGUCUACUGGAUCUUG
rnacentral:lncRNA from 1 species